UAGGGAAUCUUCCACAAUGGACGCAAGUCUGAUGGAGCAACGCCGCGUGAGUGAAGAAGGUCUUCGGAUUGUAAAGCUCUGUCUUUUGGGACGAUAAUGACGGUACCAAAGGAGGAAGCCACGGCUAACUACGUGCCAGCAGCCGCGGUAAUACGUAGGUGGCGAGCGUUGUCCGGAUUUACUGGGCGUAAAGGGUGCGUAGGCGGAUGUUUAAGUGAGAUGUGAAAUACCCGGGCUUAACUUGGGUGCUGCAUUUCAAACUGGAUAUCUAGAGUGCAGGAGAGGAGAAUGGAAUUCCUAGUGUAGCGGUGAAAUGCGUAGAGAUUAGGAAGAACACCAGUGGCGAAGGCGAUUCUCUGGACUGUAACUGACGCUGAGGCACGAAAGCGUGGGUAGCAAACAGGAUUAGAUACCCUGGUAGUCCACGCCGUAAACGAUGAGUACUAGGGUGUAGGAGGUAUCGACCCCUUCUGUGCCGCAGUAAACACAUUAAGUACUCCGCCUGGGAAGUACGAUCGCAAGAUUAAAACUCUAAAGUGAAUUGAC
rnacentral:rRNA from 1 species